rnacentral:tRNA from 2 species
GCUUUAUUAGUUUAAUUAGAAUGUUGAUUUGUGAUAUCAAAGGUAUAUUAUGAAUAUAUUAGGCU